GUAGGGUGCGAGCGUUGUCCGGAAUUAUUGGGCGUAAAGAGCUUGUAGGCGGUUUGUCGCGUCUGCUGUGAAAGCCCGGGGCUUAACUCCGGGUCUGCAGUGGGUACGGGCAGACUAGAGUGUGGUAGGGGAGACUGGAAUUCCUGGUGUAGCGGUGAAAUGCGCAGAUAUCAGGAGGAACACCGAUGGCGAAGGCAGGUCUCUGGGCCAUAACUGACGCUGAGAAGCGAAAGCAUGGGGAGCGAACAGGAUUAGAUACCCUGGUAGUCCAUGCCGUAAACGUUGGGCGCUAGGUGUGGGGCUCAUUCCACGAGUUCCGUGCCGUAGCUAACGCAUUAAGC
rnacentral:rRNA from 1 species